UACGUAGGGUGCGAGCGUUAAUCGGAAUUACUGGGCGUAAAGCGUGCGCAGGCGGCUUUGCAAGACAGAUGUGAAAUCCCCGGGCUCAACCUGGGAACUGCAUUUGUGACUGCAAGGCUAGAGUACGGCAGAGGGGGAUGGAAUUCCGCGUGUAGCAGUGAAAUGCGUAGAUAUGCGGAGGAACACCAAUGGCGAAGGCAAUCCCCUGGGCCUGUACUGACGCUCAUGCAAGAAAGCGUGGGGAGCAAACAGG
rnacentral:rRNA from 1 species